rnacentral:lncRNA from 1 species
AUUUUUCAGAUUACCCAAUCAUGAUCACGGUCUUUUCACAUCAGAGAUAUAAAAACAAAUAUCCUUCAAACUCUGCUUCCACUAAUAGCCUCUUGAUGACUUCUAGCAAAUCUCACCAACCUUGCCCUACCCCCUACCAUUAAUCUAAGAGGAGAACUCUUUGAAACUAGAGUUUCAUUCUCCUAAUCAAAUAUCACUACAGUGCUUAUAGGACUUAAUAUACUAAUUACAGCCCUUUACGUCCUGCAUAUGCUAAUCACAACACAACAAGGGACACUUACAUAUUAUUUUAACAGUAUGAAACCUUCCUUUACAUGAGAAAAUACAUUAAUAUUUACACAUUUUGCACCUAUCUUCCUAUUAUCCUUAUACCCUAAAAUUUUUAUG